ACGUAGGUGGCAAGCGUUGUCCGGAUUUACUGGGUGUAAAGGGCGCGUAGGCGGGACAGCAAGUCAGAUGUGAAAUGCCAGGGCUUAACCCUGGAGCUGCAUUUGAAACUGUUGUUCUUGAGUGAUGGAGAGGCAAGUGGAAUUCCUAGUGUAGCGGUGAAAUGCGUAGAUAUUAGGAGGAACACCAGUGGCGAAGGCGGCUUGCUGGACAUUAACUGACGCUGAUGCGCGAAAGCGUGGGGAGCAAACAG
rnacentral:rRNA from 1 species